AGUGGGUUGGCGGAGCGGUCUAACGCGAUUGCCUGGAAAGCAAUUGUCCUUCGGGGCACGUGGGUUCGAAUCCCACACCCACUGCCA
rnacentral:tRNA from 1 species